rnacentral:rRNA from 1 species
GAUGAACGCUGGCGGCGUGCCUAAUACAUGCAAGUCGAGCGAACGGACGAGAAGCUUGCUUCUCUGAUGUUAGCGGCGGACGGGUGAGUAACACGUGGAUAACCUACCUAUAAGACUGGGAUAACUUCGUGAAACCGGAGCUAAUACCGGAUAAUAUUUUGAACCGCAUGGUUCAAAAGUGAAAGACGGUCUUGCUGUCACUUAUAGAUGGAUCCGCGCUGCAUUAGCUAGUUGGUAAGGUAACGGCUUACCAAGGCAACGAUGCAUAGGCGACCUGAGGGGGUGAUCGGCCACACUGGAACUGAGACGCGGUCCAGACUCCUACGGGAGGCAGCAGUAGGGAAUCUUCCGCAAUGGGCGAAAGACUGACGGAGCAACGCCGCGUGAGUGAUGAAGGUCUUCGGAUCGUAAAACUCUGUUAUUAGGGAAGAACAUAUGUGUAAGUAACUGUGCACAUCUUGACGGUACCUAAUCAGAAAGCCACGGCUAACUACGUG